rnacentral:rRNA from 1 species
AGAACGAACGCUGGCGGCAGGCCUAAUACAUGCAAGUCGAACGCACUCUUCGGAGUGAGUGGCAGACGGGUGAGUAACGCGUGGGAACCUUCCCAAUGGUACGGAAUAACUCCGGGAAACCGGUGCUAAUACCGUAUAAGCCCCUCGGGGGAAAGAUUUAUCGCCAUUGGAUGGGCCCGCGUCGGAUUAGCUAGUUGGUAAGGUAAUGGCUUACCAAGGCUACGAUCCGUAGCUGGUCUGAGAGGAUGAUCAGCCACACUGGGACUGAGACACGGCCCAGACUCCUACGGGAGGCAGCAGUAGGGAAUCUUGGACAAUGGGCGAAAGCCUGAUCCAGCCAUGCCGCGUGAGUGAAGAAGGCCUUAGGGUUGUAAAGCUCGUUUUGGCGGGGACGAUAAUGACGGUACCGCAGAAUAACGCCCGGCUAACUUCGCGCCAGCAGCCGC